UACAGAGGAGCCAAGCGUUGUCCGGAUUGACUGGGCGUAAAGCGCACGCAGGCGGAUGCGCGCGUGGGGUGUGAAAUCUGGCCGCUUAACGGCCAGGCGCCAUCCCAUACGGCGCGUCUGGAGUGAUGCAGAGGUCGGUGGAAUUGCCGGUGUAGUGGUGAAAUGCGUAGAGAUCCGGCGGAACACCGGUGGUGAAGGCGGUCUCCUGGGCCGAGGGCCGACGCUGAGGCGCGAGAGCGUGGGGAGCGAACCGG
rnacentral:rRNA from 1 species